rnacentral:rRNA from 1 species
UGAUCCUGGCUCAGGAUGAACGCUGGCGGCGUGCCUAACACAUGCAAGUCGAACGAAGCUUGACGGAUGAUUUCUUCGGAAUGAAACCAGAUAUGACUUAGUGGCGGACGGGUGAGUAACACGUGAGCAACCUGCCUUUCAGAGGGGGAUAACGGCUGGAAACGGUCGCUAAUACCGCAUGAUGUGUUCGGAUGGCAUCAUCUGAACAUCAAAGAUUUAUCGCUGAAAGAUGGGCUCGCGUCUGAUUAGAUAGUUGGUGGGGUAACGGCCUACCAAGUCUGCGAUCAGUAGCCGGACUGAGAGGUUGAACGGCCACAUUGGGACUGAGAUACGGCCCAGACUCCUACGGGAGGCAGCAGUGGGGAAUAUUGCACAAUGGGGGAAACCCUGAUGCAGCAACGCCGCGUGAAGGAUGACGGUUUUCGGAUUGUAAACUUCUUUUCUUAGUGACGAAGACAGUGACGGUAGCUAAGGAAUAAGCAUCGGCUAACUACGUGCCAGCAGCCGCGGUAAUACGUAGGAUGCAAGCGUUAUCCGGAUUUACUGGGUGUAAAGGGAGCGCAGGCGGGACUGCAAGUUGGAUGUGAAAUACCGUGGCUUAACCACGGAACUGCAUCCAAAACUGUAGUUCUUGAGUGAAGUAGAGGCAAGCGGAAUUCCGAGUGUAGCGGUGAAAUGCGUAGAUAUUCGGAGGAACACCAGUGGCGAAGGCGGCUUGCUGGGCUUUAACUGACGCUGAGGCUCGAAAGUGUGGGGAGCAAACAGGAUUAGAUACCCUGGUAGUCCACACUGUAAACGAUGAUAGCUAGGUGUGGGGGGUCUGACCCCUUCCGUGCCGGAGUUAACGCAAUAAGCUAUCCACCUGGGGAGUACGACCGCAAGGUUGAAACUCAAAGGAAUUGACGGGGGCCCGCACAA